UUCGUAGGCGGUGUGGCAAGUCGGGAGUGAAAUCUCUGGGCUCAACCCAGAGACUGCUUCCGAAACUGCUGUGCUUGAGUGUGGGAGAGGCGCGUGGAAUUGCAGGUGUAGCGGUGAAAUGCGUAGAUAUCUGCAGGAACACCCGUGGCGAAAGCGGCGCGCUGGACCACUACUGACGCUGAGGAACGAAAGCUAGGGGAGCAAACA
rnacentral:rRNA from 1 species